GGCAGGCGCAAAGGGAUGCUUUGUUCCGGAAUAAAGCGGGAUGUGUGCAGGGCUGAUCCAGAGCGGGCGAAAGACUCAUACUCUCUCUGCACUUCUCUGAGGAAGCAGGAUCCAGGAGCUGCUGCUCUCCUCCUGGGUAUUGCUGGAUAAACCAAAUGAAUUCGGGCAUAAGGAAAAGUGAACA